CAGCAGCCACGGGAAUACAGAGGGUGCAAGCGUUAAUCGGAUUUACUGGGCGUAAAGCGUGUGUAGGUGGCUGUUCAAGUCGGUUGUGAAAGCCCUGGGCUCAACCUGGGAAUUGCUUCCGAGACUGAGCGGCUAGAGUACGGUAGAGGGCGGUGGAAUUUCCGGUGUAGCGGUGAAAUGCGUAGAUAUCGGAAGGAACACCAAUGGCGAAGGCAGCCGCCUGGGCCUGUACUGACACUGAGACACGAAAGCGUGGGGAUCAAACAGGAUUAGAUACCCCUGUAGUCCCUGUCUCUUAUAC
rnacentral:rRNA from 1 species